rnacentral:rRNA from 1 species
AUGGCCACCACCACCAGGCGCACGCUCAUGAUGAUGAUGAUGAUCAUUGUGCUUGGAAUGGCGACGGCCACCACAGCAAGCACCAGCCGCGGUAUGCCCAGCUGGGUGAUGCCGGAAGACGGACGUCUGCUCCUGACGGCGUCCCCACCGGUGGAUGCUGUGGUUGCCAAAGAUGGUAGCGGGGAUCAUGACACCAUCAGUGCGGCUGUGGCGGCAGCACCGCCAGGGGAGGCUAGGUACAUCAUCUACAUCAAGGAAGGGUUGUACCAGGAGAAGGUUGAAGUGCUCCACCGGAGCAAUGUGAUGCUCAUCGAAGAUGGCGCUGCUCGAACAGUGAUUACCGGCAACGAAAGCAAUCGAACUCUAGGCACCCCAUGCACGACCACAGUCAGCGCACAACGGGAAGGCAUCAUCAUUCGAGACGUGACCAUACAGAACACAGCGGGGCCGGAGGCAAAACAAGCCGUGGCCCUUCUUUCCAACUCCAACAAAUCCGUAUUUUACCGCUGCCAGAUCCUGGGUUUCUAG